rnacentral:rRNA from 1 species
GACGGGUGAKUAACGCGUGGGAMCYUKYCUUCUGGUCUGGAAUAACCCUGGGAAACUAGGGCUAAUWCCGGAUACGCCCUUUUGGGGAAAGGUUUACUGCCGGAAGAUCGGCCCGCGUCUGAUUAGCUAGUUGGUGGGGUAACGGCCUACCAAGGCGACGAUCAGUAGCUGGUCUGAGAGGAUGAUCAGCCACACUGGGACUGAGACACGGCCCAGACUCCUACGGGAGGCAGCAGUGGGGAAUAUUGGACAAUGGGCGCAAGCCUGAUCCAGCCAUGCCGCGUGAGUGAUGAAGGCCUUAGGGUUGUAAAGCUCUUUUAUCCGGGACGAUAAUGACGGUACCGGAGGAAUAAGCCCCGGCUAACUUCGUGCCAGCAGCCGCGGUAAUACRAAGGGGGCUAGCGUUGCUCGGAAUCACUGGGCGUAAAGGGCGCGUAGGCGGCGUUUUAAGUCGGGGGUGAAAGCCUGUGGCUCAACCACAGAAUGGCCUUCGAUACUGGGACGCUUGAGUAUGGUAGAGGUUGGUGGAACUGCGAGUGUAGAGGUGAAAUUCGUAGAUAUUCGCAAGAACMCCGGUGGCGAAGGCGGCCAACUGGACCAUUACUGACGCUGAGGCGCGAAAGCGUGGGRAGCAAACAGGAUUAWAUACCCCUGGUAGUCCACGCCGUAAACGAUGAAUGCCAGCUGUUGGGGUGCUUGCMCCGCARUAGCGCAGCUAACGCUUUKRAGCAUUCCGCCUGGGGAGUACGGUCGCAAGAUUAAAACUCAAAGGAWUUGACGGGGGCCCGCACAARCGGUGGAGCAUGUGGUUUAWUUCRARSMAWCSSCAGAAMCCUUMCCWYCCUUUGACAUGGCGUG